rnacentral:lncRNA from 1 species
GUUUAGUGGGGACUGUUAGUGUUAGGUUAGAGGUUGGACUCGAUGAUCUUGAGGUCUCUUCCAACCUAGAAAUUCUGUGAUUCUGUGAUAAUAAAGAAAGAGCCCAUGACAGCCAUUGAGUCUGGGUGUUUGUGGUUCCGUACAGGAACAAACUGAGAUCCCAUAACUGGUAGAUUUAAAACUGGCAACAAUUUUCAUAAAGGAGAAUGUUAUAAUUUCCAGAUGCAUAAAGAUGCAUUCUGCAGAGGUGGACGCCCUGCUGGUUCUGCAACUGUGAUGAAUUAGCAAGCUGAGAAAAGAAUUAACUCAUCAAUAAAAUGACAAACUUGCUACAUUUCAAAGCAUCUGUUAGGAUCUCAUAGAAUUUCUUGACUGUUGCAUGUUUAGUCAAAAAGAAAGAAAGAAGUGGGGUGAAUCCAUGCUCACCUUGCAAUAUUUCACUGGAUGCCUCAGAAGAGCUGAUGAAGAUAGUGAGCAAUGGGUAAGUCUGUCACCGGCUUAGAGAAGUCUGGUUCUCUCAGUGUCACUGCCACCCAGAGACAUCCUGCUCUCUGUGUGGCAGCAAGGGAGGGGACUGCAGUGCUGGACCGUCUUCCUGUAAAAACAGCAAAAACAGGAGCGGUGGGUGGACGGAGCACGGAAGUGUCAUGUACGAAGAAUGUGUGGAAUGAGGGGAUGACUGAAGAGCUGAUGUCAGGACAGCGUAUGAUCCCUGGUACCCUGGGGGAGGAGAGCUGCAUGGAAGGCUACGAAGAGCCAUGUGCCUCUUGAAAUCUGCCAGUUAAGUAUUGCAAUUGUUGGGCCCUAUCUGGUAAGGGCUUCUUGCCCUCCUUUCCCACCAACAUCCCUGGGAGCUGAGGGUGUCACUGUUGGGCACUUACGCCCUAAGUGAUAGGGGCAUAAAACGAUUUGUGGCACUUACGCACAUAUGUGAUACAGACGGGAUGAAAAUGCAUCACUUCUAAACCCUCAAGCUUCUGUAGAUUUGGUAAUCUCCACAGAGGUGUUGUGCUAAGAAAGAUUGUGCUGUACAUUUUGUUUCCUCAUUUUGUUUCCAUAAGCAAAGCUACUUGGCUGAUAGCACAGGAAACCAACUGCUAUGGGCAUUCACUUCAAUGGGUGAACUUUAAACGAGUCACCAGGGACUGGCUGCUGCUGAGUUCAAAGAGAAAGAGACAUCCAAAACCUCUAGUGAAGCCAAGUUAUGGUGGGAAAUGCCAGAUACAAACAGGAGAAAACUGGAAAGCACAGUAGGGUGAAAGACAGAUAGAGUUAUGUUUUCCUGUCCCUAGUUGGUCAGAUUUAGGCGAGGUGGGAAUGCAGAUUUUAAAAGAAAUAACAUAAAAUUUUACUAAGGGAAGUUUGUUGAACAUCAGGAAAUGUGCUCUGGUGUUGAUGUUCUAUGAGCUGAGCACAAUAAUCUGGGAAUGGAAACAUGCUGAGAAAGUUAAUAUGGUACUUGACAAAAUACUGGAAAAUAUAUUAAAAAGAACAGUUUUGUGCAGGGCAGAAGGUAGAGCAAAUGACCCACUAAGCUUCUCCAUUUAUCCUCUUUAUUUUUUUUUUCUUUCCCCAUUGAUUUCAAAAAUCUCUCAUGCUCUCAUGCAACUGAAAGAGAAGGAGCCACCCCCCACAUCCAUCCAGUGAAGGAAAGAGAAUUUGUUCAUAGCAAUGGAAAAAAAAAAAAAAAAAAAAGAGAGGAAAAAAAAAAAGGAAGGAAUAGAAGUCUAAACUUGGGUGUCAAUUCCCCCCAGCACACACGUGAGCAUCAGACUCCCAAAAUGAAGACUAGAGUAAUAUUGCCAUCUUCUGGAAGGAUAAAUAUAUGCCAUUAUUCAGAAUACUAAGUCUGAUAUAUUUUUGAAGCCAUAGUACAAUUCUGAUAAAUCUGUUUUCUAAACCUGAAUUCUUAUCCAUAUAAAUGUAAAUUCAGUCUCUUUUCAUCAAUAUAUAUGCCACAAUCUUAGCUUUAGAAAGUGACAGUAGCAUCCUGGAUUUUAAUGAGACAUUCAUCAUGCAUAAAAUUAAGAACAUGUUAACAUUGGGGACUAUUGGUAUUGAGAUUAAUUGUAUGUAUCUUUGAGCUUGAAAACCAGUUUUUGUUUUGUUUUGUUUUGAGCAUUUAGAAGCCCAACUGGGUAUAAAGAAUCCAAACUUAAGGUGUCCAGAUGCAGAGAGAAAGAACAAUGAAAAAAUAUUACCACUCCCUUUUUAAACAGCAUCAGCUGUUACUAUACCUCCUUCAGUACAUUAAGUACAUCUGUGUUGAACAGAGCCUUGCUAUUAAUCAAAAAACUUGCAGACAGCCUAUGAAGCACAAAAACAUUCAGCAUUACUUUCAGUUAGCCCAUCUUAGAGAUGAUUAUCUAUAUUAGAGGAGCUUAUGCAGUGGCUAGGAUUAAAACAACCACACAGCUCCCAGCUGUAGCCACUGAGGGCAGGAAGGGUCAGGAGCCUGUGACAGCACUGCCCAUGUGCAGACUCCUGAGCCUCUCGGCUCUCUGCUGCCUGUGCUGUACAGGGGCUGCCCCAGGCUGUCCUGCACCCAGAGCUCUUUGGUGCUAGACGCAGGGGAUGAAAGUAGCUGGACCGCUGGUUUCCUCCAUCCUAGCAAAGCAGUGGGGCACCUCCUGCCUCGCUCACUUCCUGCAGCAGUAGGAACCUCACCACAGCACUGAGCAAAGCUGUGGGGUCCUGUGGGCAGUGGUGCGGUGUGCAUCUUUGGGAUGCUCCUCUCCCUUGUACUUCAAUUCAGUGUGGAGCAGCUCCAUGUCCUCUAGCAACUACUCUUUCUCAUGAGAGGUGAUGCCAUUCUUACUUGCUGUUCUGAUGCCAAACAAGCUGUUACAAAACCCUCAAGUACAGUAGGACCUUUACACUUUUAGGACAAGAGCACAGAGGGGACUUUGAGUGAAUGUGAAUCUUUCUGUCUCUCUUACUAGCUUCCCAAACCCAUCCAAUGUGAAGCUGCUGGGAGCUGAAAUUCCUGGUGAACUUUAUGCCUCGUUAAAGGCUGCCACUACGAGGGACAGCAUCCUUUGAGUUCUGGGCUUGACUUGUCACUGUUUCACAGACCUCUGUCCCUGUGGUGAUGCCACAGUGUCACUCAGCACCACUUCUGCUAAUGGGCUUCUUUUUUCAUUAAAACUCCAGUUCCCAAGGGGAACGCUGGAUUGAUAUCUCUUUAGGGUCUGAAACUGCAGUCCUCAGAGCAGAUGCAGUUGCAUGAACUUUCUGCACCCUAUUUCUCUCAUUUCUAUGAUUGGCAUCUCUGGCCAGGAAGAUAUCCUAGGGCUGGGGGCUUGUGGUCUUUGUCACCUACUGAGGCUGUGCACAGGGCAAGGGGCUAGAUGAUGCCAAUAGUGUUGUUAAUUUCUGAGCUAAGGUCACAUGUCCCCUGCAGCACCAGUCAGAGAGCUGCAGCUCGUUCCAUUCAAGCUCCCAAAGAGCCAGUGUCCAGAGAUGGCUGGGAUCUUUUCAUGUUUUACUGAAACAUUUUACUCGCUGAAUGCAGGUCGCCCUUUUGCAUUUAAUCCCAGCCCACAGCACCAAGCACUUCCCAUAUAAUCUCCCAGAACAGCUGUGCUGUGAUUGCAUUGUGGAUUAUAAAAUGACCAUUUUCCACAAAACAGCUGCUGGCUGGAGGGAUAGCUUGUAAUGAUCAUGGGGAGAGGGGUGGAGGAGGAGGAGGAGGAGAUGAAAAGAAAGAGGGUUUGGAGCAGUUUGGUUUCUCGGAAAAUUUAGAGAUGAGCAAAACAGAAGACAAAGUGUGAGUUCCAUUUCUGUAUUACUCCUCCAAAUUAACAGGACUUCAAGGACUUCCUGGUAAGGUAAAUUCAACCCUCUUUCCUUUUGGGGCUAUCUAGAUACUGUGGUCAGUUAUUGUCAGUAAGUGUGUGGCUUUUAUAGGAAGGAAACUUUACUGAAAGUAUUCUCAUCAGGAAGUAUUUCUGAUUUGCUUCUUGUCUCCUACAUCCUCGGCACCCUUGAUCCAGUUCCUUCUUCUGACUAGUCCCUUUUCUUUUCUUUUCUUUUCUUUUCUUUUCUUUUCUUUUCUUUUCUUUUCUUUUCUUUUCUUUUCUUUUCUUUUCUUUUCUUUUCUUUUCUUUUCUUUUCUUUUCUUUUCUUUUCUUUUCUUUUCUUUUCUUUUCUUUUCUUUUUUCUUUUCUUUUCUUUUCUUUUCUUUUCUUUUCUUUUCUUUUCUUUUCUUUUCUUUUCUUUUCUUUUCUUUUCUUUUCUUUUCUUUUCUUUUCUUUUCUUUUCUUUUCUUUUCUUUUCUUUUCUUUUCUUGUUUUCUUUUCUUAUCACUUCUUCUGAAAUGAUAUGGCCUUUGACCUACUAAUACAAAUCAAAUGGAGAGAAUAUUUUUCCCAAUAUUGAAGAUUCAAAUUAGAAUAUUUUUUUUGUGUGUGUGUCAAUAUUAUGAGUGGAAAGAUUAUUUUCAGUGUAAGUAUGAGCAAACUGAAACCUGGUAACAGAAAAUAUAAUCAAGAAUUGAAGAAAAACUGAAAAACUGUGCAACGAAGGCUUCUAUUUUCAGAUGAAAAGUCAUGUUUCUGAGACAAUUUUAUCUAUAAUUUCCUUUUAAGUCAGAAACCAAUUUUUUUGCUGAAAAAACUUUAAGAAGAAUUUGCCACCAACCUUAGCCAGAAACCUUCAUAUAAUAU